rnacentral:lncRNA from 1 species
GUCACAUAUUAUAUCAAGAACUUUAGGAGCUAAGAUAUUCUCUCACGAUGGAAGAGGUUAGUCCCAGUCCCGUUUGCCUGUGGACAUCUUGCAUCAUCCUCUGAACAAUCUUUCCCUUCCUUCCUCUUCUUUCCAGUUCUCGUCCCACCCUCUUCCCUCUCUUCUUUUCUUUUUUUUUUUCUCCCCUCAAGCCCAAGACUUUCCUGUCAUGCCAGGCAAUGAUUCAGCCACUUCAGUUCUGGGUGGAUGGAUAGGCAGGGCUUAAAGCAGGCAACCCUCAUGCUGUCAAAGCCAAAAAGUAGAGGAAUUAUAAAAGCCUCCACCAGGGGUUGCCUAAGCUCUGGUGUUUUGCCCCCACUACUUUAAAGGCGAUUCGUUUAAAACAAAACAAAACAAAACGAAAAACAACAACUUACUUUGUAAAGCAUAAGCUUAAAAUAAGAAAAACAGAAGUGCCUAAUCAGAUCUUUGGAAGUAUUGCAUUGCACUGUCACUGAGUGAUAUAUGACUGGCUGUCUUUCUGUUUGGACUGCAUUCAUCUGAAUGGAGUGGGUACAUUGGCUACCGCCUUUUCUCCUGGUUUUCGCUGUUUCUCUUUGAUCUAGAAGCGAUUUAUUCUUACUCCUCCAGAUCUCUUUAUAAAGAGCCACAGGGAAGGGAAACAAUGAUGGCUGUUUGGGAAUAAAGGAGGGCUCUCACAGUUGAAGUUUUCUCCAUCUAGGCUUGGGUAAGGAGAAGGGCUUCUGGUCCCUCAGGCCUGUCAGUCAUAUACCUGGGACCUGUCCCAUGGUCAUACAGACCAGACCCUGCACACCUGCAGUCUCAGGUUCUGACAAGCAGGUAUCUUGCAAAGCGGAGCCCACAGCUGGAAUUCAAGGCAAAGCCCAUCCCCUCUUGCCAGCAAGGCAGGAGUGUCCCUUCUGAAGUAAAAGCCAGAGGACAAGAUGGACUGGGAAACACUGCAAAGACAUUGCUCCUCGGCCUUUGGUGACAUUCCUCCAAGGUCCCCUCUCACAGGUGUGUUAUGAGACAUACCUCAGGCAUGAGUGGACGCAUCAACAAAAGGAAUAGCUAAACACAGCCUGAAAUAGGAUGCCUUCAAGGGGACAAACAGAAAUGUAGGAGGAAGGAUCUUCAAAGACAUGCCAAAUUACCGUGACUCAUUACCAUGGCCCUCUUAAGAUCAGUGCUCGCAAGAAGUAGUUUAUGCCAAACAAGUAUAGCAAGAAGAGCAACCUUGCUGGGUGGGUGAGGAAAAUCAGUCCUCUUUUCUAUGACAUGAGACUAAUUAUUAAAAGAAUUUCAAUUUUGUCUUUACCAAGACAUGAGUUCCUUAUGUACUGCAUGCUGUCUUCUGCUUUUUAUUUGAAGAAAUGUGGCAUUUGGGAAGCAGCAGAUGUCCCCCCUGUGGAAUCAAUGUGAAAUGAUAUUUUUGUAACAUCAUUAAAAAGUCUAUCAAGGCUGAGGCAGGAGAAUCGCUUGAACCCGGGAGGCAGAGGUUGCAGUGAACCGAGAUUGCACCACUGAACUCCAGCCUGGGCAACAACAGCGAAACUCUGUCUCAAAGAAAAGAAAAAAAAAAAAAGUAUGAACUCUGGAAUCAAGACAGGCCUGAUUUCAACCCUAGCUCCUCUGUGACCCUGAGGCACUGCUAAACUUCCCUGGGCCCCAUCAGGAAACGUGAAUCCCACAAACAGCCAGCAGAGGGACCCACUCCCAGCCUCCA